rnacentral:tRNA from 1 species
GCCGAUGUAGCUCAACUGGUGGAGCAGACGCUUUGUAAGCGUAAGGCUGUCGGAUCGUGCCCGACCAUCGGCU